GGACCUGACUGCUAUCGGAUUGGUACUAAGCCAUGUGAGUCAUUGUAGCAAUACAAGGCAUACGGCUCAGUAACACGUAGUCAAUCUAACCUAUGGACGUGGAUAACCUCGGGAAACUGAGAAUAAUCCGCGAUAGAUCAUAAUUCCUGGAACGGUUUAUGGUCCAAAUGAUUCGUCGCCAUAGGAUGGGACUGCGGCCUAUCAGCUUGUUGGUGAGGUAAUGGCUCACCAAGGCUAUUACAGGUACGGGCUCUGAGAGGAGAAGCCCGGAGAUGGGUACUGAGACACGGACCCAGGCCCUAUGGGGCGCAGCAGGCGAGAAACCUUUGCAAUGUGCGCAAGCAC
rnacentral:rRNA from 2 species